GCACUCCCGGGGCGUCUCUAUCUCAUUGCGAGAGGAGGCGCACCUAGAGCGUACACGCUGAUACCCGAAAGAUGGUGAACUAUGCCUGGCCAGGACGAAGCCAGGGGAAACCCUGGUGGAGGUCCGCAGCGAUUCUGACGUGCAAAUCGAUCGUCGGAGCUGGGUUUAGGGGCGAAAGACCAAUCGAACCAUCUAGUAGCUGGUUCCCUCUGAAGUUUCCCUCAGGAUAGCUUGCGCUCGGGCGAGACGAGUCUCAUCCGGUAGAGCGAAUGAUUAGAGGCCUUGGGGUCGAAACGACCUCAACCUAUUCUCAAACUCCAAAUAGAUGAGAACCCCGGCUUUCUUGAACUAUGUUCUUUUGAAGCCGGGGGCUUGGAUCAGAGUGCCAAGUGGGCCAAUUUUGGUAAGCAGAACUGGCGCUGUGGGAUGAACCAAACGCAGAGUUAAGGCGCCUCAAUCGACGCUCAUGUGAGACCAUGAAAGGCGUUGGUUGCUUAAGACAGCAG
rnacentral:rRNA from 1 species